GACCAUUGCUUUGACUAAUUUUGACACCGAGAGAUUAAGGAUAAUUCUAGAAAAUGGGAUUCCGGUUGUUAGCAAUCAGGUACAACAUUCAAUUGUUGAUAUGCGUCCUCAACAGAAAAUGGCAGAGAUUUGUCAGCUUACAGGAGUCAAACUUAUAACGUCUCUCUCUCUCUCUCUCAACUUGUUAGGGUGCCGCAAAAUUAUUGCAACGAUACAUCAUUUAUUUAAUUUGUUAAUGUGAUUGUCUAAUAGGAAUCCAACUAGGCCUGCCGCAUGCUUACAUAACUGCCUGAUAUUAGAUUGAGUCUAGUUUUCUCUAAUUCUGGGAUUCCAAGAAUGAGCAUCUCCUUUAUUACUUCUCAGUAAUUCUGCAACCGGAAAAGUACCUUCAUUUCUAUGACCUAAAUGACUGAUGUAUUACUAAAUUUUCUUUGAAUGCAUGUAUGGAACAGUAAUGGGAGGGUUAUUAUCUAAAAAGUUCCUUGAUACCAACUUAACGAUACCUUUUGCUGGUCCUGCAUUGAACACUCCUUCACUACAGAAGUACAAAAGGAUGGUUGACGCUUGGGGAGGGUGGAGUCUCUUCCAAGAGUUGCUCAGGACACUGAAAACUGUGGCCAACAAACAUGGAAUCUCUAUUCCAACAGUUGCUGUGAGAUUUAUACUGGAUC